CGGCUAACUCCGUGCCAGCAGCCGCGGUAAUACGGAGGAUACGAGCGUUAUCCGGAUUUAUUGGGUUUAAAGGGUGCGCAGGCGGACCGUUAAGUCAGGGGUGAAAAGUUGGGGCUCAACUCCAAUCGUGCCUUUGAUACUGGCGGACUAGAGUGCAGGGGACGUGACUGGAAUGUGAUGUGUAGCGGUGAAAUGCUUAGAUAUGUCACAGAACGCCGAUCGUGAAGACAGGUCACGAAUCUGCAACUGACGCUCAUGCACGAAAGCGUGGGGAUCAAACAGGAUUAGAUACCCUGGUAGUCCACGCUGUAAACGAUGAAUACUAGGUGUAGGGGGUAUCAACUCCCUCUGUGCCGCAGCAAACGCAAUAAGUAUUCCGCCUGGGGAGUACGGCCGCAAGGUUGAAACUCAAAGGAAUUGACGGGGGCCCGCACAAGCAGCGGAGCAUGUGGUUUAAUUCGACGCAACGCGAAGAACCUUACCAAGGCUUGACAUCCACUUAAAGUCAUGGAAACAUGAUGUCUCUUCGGAGGAAGUGAGACAGGUGGUGCAUGGUUGUCGUCAGCUCGUGUCGUGAGAUGUUGGGUUAAGUCCCGCAACGAGCGCAACCCUUAUUACCAGUUACCAGCGAGUAAAGUCGGGGACUCUGGUGAGACUGCCGGGGACAACUCGGAGGAAGGUGGGGACGACGUCAAAUCAUCAUGCCCCUUAUGUCUUGGGCUACACACGUGCUACAAUGGCUGUAACAAAGGGAAGCGACAGUGUAAGCUGAAGCGGAUCUCAGAAAAACAGUCCCAGUUCGGAUUGUGGGCUGCAACCCGCCCACAUGAAGUCGGAGUUGCUAGUAAUCGCGGAUCAGAAUGCCGCGGUGAAUACGUUCCCGGGCCUUGCACACACCGCCCGUCA
rnacentral:rRNA from 1 species